rnacentral:misc_RNA from 1 species
UUAAGAAUUUGCUUAUGUUCAGACAGGCACACACAACAAGAGUUGGGUUAUGAUCUUACCGCAGGUUCUCCGACCGCGUUGGCAGUCGGGCGACAUAAAGUCGCUGCCCUACGGAAGCAACAAGGAAAGUUCACAGUGGUUUGAAAGUGUACCCUUUACCGUUUCCGGCUUGGGGUCAAUCUUUUAAUGAUCCUUCCGCAGGUUCACCUACGGAAA